rnacentral:rRNA from 1 species
ACAGCAGCCGCCGCGGUAAUACGAAGGGUGCAAGCGUUAAUCGGAAUUACUGGGCGUAAAGCGUGCGUAGGCGGUGAGUUAAGUCUGCUGUGAAAUCCCCGGGCUCAACCUGGGAAUGGCAGUGGAUACUGGCUCGCUAGAGUGUGUCAGAGGAUGGUGGAAUUCCCGGUGUAGCGGUGAAAUGCGUAGAUAUCGGAAGGAACACCUGUGGCGAAAGCGGCUCACUGGACAAUAACUGACGCUGAUGCACGAAAGCUAGGGGAGCAAACAGGAUUAGAUACCCCUGUAGUCCCUGUCUCUUAUAC